rnacentral:rRNA from 1 species
GAUGAACGCUGGCGGCGUGCCUAAUACAUGCAAGUCGAACGCACAGCGAAAGGUGCUUGCACCUUUCAAGUGAGUGGCGAACGGGUGAGUAACACGUGGAUAACCUACCUCAAGGUUGGGGAUAACAUUUGGAAACAGAUGCUAAUACCGAAUAAAACUUCGUAUCGCAUGAUACAAGGUUAAAAGGCGCUACGGCGUCACCUAGAGAUGGAUCCGCGGUGCAUUAGUUAGUUGGUGGGUAAAGGCCUACAAGACAAUGAUGCAUAGCCGAGUUGAGAGACUGAUCGGCCACAUUGGGACUGAGACACGGCCCAAACUCCUACGGGAGGCUGCAGUAGGGAAUCUUCCACAAUGGGCGAAAAGCCUGAUGGAGCAACGCCGCGUGUGUGAUGAAGGCUUUCGGUCGGUAAAGACACUGUUGUAUGGGAAGGAACAGCUAGAAGUAGGGAAAGU